AUACGUAGGUGACAAGCGUUAUCCGGAUUUACUGGGCGUAAAGGGCGUGUAGGCGGUCUUGCAAGUCAGAAGUGAAAUUCCUGAGCUCAACUCGGGCGCUGCUUCUGAAACUGCAGGACUUGAGUGCUGGAGGGGAUAGCGGAAUUCCUAGUGGAGCGGUAAAAUGCGAAGAUAUUAGGAAGAACACCGGUGGCGAAGGCGGCUAUCUGGACAGGAACUGACGCUGAGGCCCGAAAGCGGGGGGAGCAAACAGGAUUAGAUGCCCUGGUAGUCCACGCCGUAAACGAUGAAUACUAGGUGUAGGGGGUAUCGACUCCCUCUGUGCCGCAGUUAACACGAUAAGUAUUCCGCCUGGGGAGUACGGCCGCAAGGUUGAAACUCAAAUGAAUUGACGGGG
rnacentral:rRNA from 1 species